GGCUGCGCUCAGCUCACAUUACCAGCCUGGAUCCCAUACCUGCCAAGGGCGAGCCAGAUGCAGAGCGACAGAGGUGUGUGGCUCUUUCAGUCGUGCCAUUUGGCAUGUCCUGAGUUCUUGUCGCUGUGUGCAGGAAGAAUGAAGUAUGCAGACAAUUGGAGGGUGAGCAAGGCGAAGAGGAGCUUCCUUGAGCGACAGAACAGCUCUCAGGAAACCGGAAAGUUUGAAGAUCUGGCAGCAUUGAGCAAGCCUUCCCACAUGGCCAUGGUUGACAAGAGCUACAGAGAUUGCCCUCUAUGUACAUUUGCUAAAAUAUAAAUUCCGUGAAGAUUCAUGAAGAACCAUUUUGUUGCUUGAUGCAACCUGAACACCUGGAAGAGCUGAUGCUCAAUACAUAUUUAUCACAUGAAUCACCCUGUAGUUUCUCAGUAAACAUUUGUUAAAUUAACAAGGCAUAGGUUCUCCAAUCUGACACCCAGUAGUCCUUAUUUUAUUAUACUCAAAUUACCUCUCUCUUAUUUACGUUAUUUCUCUGGCCUCAUAGGCAUUUAAAAUUUUUAUUUAAAAAAUUGUGGUAAAAUAUACAUAAAGUUUAUCAUUUUUAGCAUUUUUAGUGUACAAUGCAGUGAGACUAAGUAUACUUACAAUGUUGUGCGGUUGUCACCACUAUCCAUCUCCAGAACUUUUUCAUCUUUCCAAACUGAAACUCAGCACCGAUUAACAAAUAACUCUCCAUUGCCCUUUCCCACCAGACUCUGUCAAUCACCGCUCUUUGUUCUGUCUCUACAGAUUUAAUUUCUUUAAGUAGCUCAUAUAAGUAGAAUCAUACAAUAUUUGUCCUUUUGGGUGCUGCAAGAAUUUAAUGUAUCAUACCUGUUUAAUUUACUGCCUUCAUAUAUUAGAGUUGGAAGAAACUAAGGCUCAGAAGGAUGAAAGUGAGUGUGCAUAGACACAUAACACACUGAUGGUCCACUUACUCUGGAAAGAAAGACCGUUUCUUUCCUCCAAGAUCUGUGUUCUUUGUACUGCAACAUGCUGAAUUACCCAUUUUACCACUUACAGAAGGAAGUGUUCUAGACUUCUAAGUCAAGAAUGAGUGAAAACAUCACAAUUAGACUAAAUUUAGCCCAAACUUAUGUCAUGGCAUGGAAUUUGAAAAGAAUCCUUAAUCAUAUGAUAAUGUACAAAAAGUCACACCCACAAACUUAUAAGUAAAUUGUAAUCAUUUAAAAUCUCUCUCUAUUCUCUGUUGAAUUAUCUGAUUGCAUAUAUCUCUAUUUUUGGCAACCUACUGAAAGAACUUACACUAGCAUAAGCAUACAAACAAAUGUGUGAAUGUUCCAAAUACAUGCUUUAAAUCCCUCCGCUGGCCUCAGUUGAUUGGAAGUGUCAUCAGAACACCAUUCUGGGAACUGAUUUUUU
rnacentral:lncRNA from 1 species